rnacentral:rRNA from 1 species
AUUGAACGCUGGCGGCAGGCUUAACACAUGCAAGUCGAACGAGUUGCGGCCGGGUGAGUAAUGUCUGUGAAACUGCCCGAUGGAGGGGGAUAACUACUCGAAACAGUAGCUAAUACCGCAUACCAUCGGAUGUUCCCAGCUGGGAUUAGCUAGUAGGUGGGGUAACGGCUCACCUAGGCGACGAUCCCUAUCUGGUCUGAGAGGAUGACCAGACACACUGGAACUGAGACACGGUCCAGACUCCUACGGGAGGCAGCAGUGGGGAAUAUUGCACAAUGGGCGAAAGCCUGAUGCAGCCAUGCCGCGUGUAUGAAGAAGGCCUUCGGGUUGUAAAGUACUUUCAGCGAGGAGGCGUUACUCGCAGAAGAAGCACCGGCUAACUCCGUGCCAGCAGCCGCGGUAAUUC